UCAGUCAGGCUGACGUCAUGCAUGUGGGCCUUUUUUCUAGCAAAAUCAUAAUGAUGGUGUAUGUUUUUUUUCCGUCUGCCUGUCAUCGAGCUAGGAAUUAGUGUUGCUUUUCUCUUUUCUUGCUAUAAGCCGUCGUGUAGUCCCUCAUGGGCUAGGAAUCAGCCCGUUUUUUCUUUCAUUGUUCCCUUCAGUGGAGCAUUACUCCACCUUCUAUUUCAAUCCAUUUU
rnacentral:lncRNA from 1 species